ensembl:lncRNA
GGGGAGUUGUGUGUUUCAGCUGUAGGGAAGUCUGUUGUCUUUGUCUUGCCAAACACGGAAGCAACAAUGUAGCGUUGUUGACUGACUCAACAGUCAAACACCCAGGUUACAAUAAGGAACUGGAGAUUUUACUGUAUAUCAGGAGAAUUGAACUCUGACCCUACGAGGUCCAGAGCCUGCUGCUUUUCUGUUCUCCCUGGUAAUGAAUUGCAGCCACCCCAGGUAUAAGUCAGUCCCUGGUUAGUGGGGAACAAUGAAAAAAAGCAGGGGGACUGGCUUUGAGGGUCCGGAUUUGAAUUUGAGGGCUGUAGGUCAUUCAUUGUGCCAUAGUGGUUAUGUCUCUCUCUUCCCCAUCCUGAGACUAGAGCAGGGCUGUCAGCAUCAGUUCCCUGGAAGGCUGUAGGUCAUUCAUUGUGCCAUAGUGGUUAUGUCUCUCUCUUCCCCAUCCUGAGACUAGAGCAGGGCUGUCAGCAUCAGUUCCCUGGAAGGCUGUAGGUCAUUCAUUAUGCCAUAGUGGUUAUGUCUCUCUCUUCCCCAUCCUGAGACUAGAGCAGGGCUGUCAGCAUCAGUUCCCUGGAAGGCUGUAGGUCAUUCAUUGUGCCAUAGUGGUUAUGUCUCUCUCUUCCCCAUCCUGAGACUAGAGCAGGGCUGUCAGCAUCAGUUCCCUGGAAGGCUGUAGGUCUUCUGGUUUUUCUCAUGUUCCCUUUCAUUUGUGUCCAUUUAAGAUCUAGACAACCAGCUAAAGGGAAUUUCCUUACUGGUGACCUUAAUUAAUCAUUCAAGUAGAAGGGAGAACUGAAAACCCGCAGCCACUCGGCCCUCCAGGAAUUGAGUUUGUCACCCCCUGGACUACCCCAGGUAUCAGGCUAGAAAUAAGACUAGCUUAGGCAGUAUGUCUCAAUCCUGGUCCUAGCACUCUAGAACCAGGAUGGAGAACCACUGAGCUAAGGGAUUGGGGACAGCCAUCACCGAGGGAGGAAUAGAAUCUGUGAUGGGAUGCUUUGAAAAACAAUGUCAAUCUUUUUGGAAUGGCUCUGAGAGAUAAAUGUUAUCCAACACUGUAUGUACUGUACAUGAUUUAAACAUGGUGUUUUUUUUUAUUUCUUAACUUAUUUCAGAUGGAGGAUGUGUCAUUCUCUGGUUCCUAAGUGUAAUUAUUGUUGCUGAUGAUAAUUAUUGUUGUUGUAUAUUGUUAUUGUUAAUGAAUGCUAUUUUUAAUAUAAACAUAAAGGCC